GUGGUUUGGAGAGCCAGCAGUGGGAUUGCUUUGGGAAGUGCCUUGGGUGGUUCACCUGGAGGAAGUGGAUCCUGGCACAGUUGGUUGUGAGGGGUCUGCAGGCUGAAUCCUGGCUCGUCUCCCUCAAGGUUUUGCUGUUGUUGGCCUGUUCUGGAUCCAAUCCUAUGGGAUAUAAAUUCCUGUGAAAAUGAAUGAGC